ACACUUCUCAAACAAAGUGCAAACGUUAGGUAUAUAAAACAGAAACGCAAAUCAAAUGAAGAAAGCAAAGGAAAAUGAAAGGAAACGAAAUGGUGAUUGAUGAUUGAUGAUUGAUGAUUGAUGAUUGAUGAUUGAUGAUUGAUGAUUGAUGAGCACAGCUGAUAACAUCUACUUAGCUUAGCGCAGUUGUUUUUGUCAUUGCUUGCACCUCGCCAUUGAACAAUCUCUUUCUUCCACUGUACAUAUUCCAAAUAUGCUCUCAAAUAACGUUUUAUUUAGUGUUAUUAAUUAAUUAAUUAAUUCAGUGGAGUCGACAAAAAACCAAAUCCAAUUUGUUAUUUUGAUUUGGUCAAUUAUUUUAAAACCCAAAACCCUAUAAAUAUUAUUCGCCAACCUCAAAUACCCACUUCAGUUUUUGAGUUUUUGAAGGGA
rnacentral:lncRNA from 1 species